rnacentral:tRNA from 1 species
AAUUAAAUAGUUUAAAUAAUAAAAAUAAAUACUUUGGGGGUAUUAGUUACUACAGAAUUAAUGUGGUUUUAAUUA